rnacentral:rRNA from 1 species
AAGGGCACCACAAGAACGCGUGGAGCAUGUGGCUUAAUUUGACUCAACGCGGGGAAUCUUACCGGGUCCGGACACACUGAGGAUUGACAGGCAAUUGCAACCAUUGUGUUGCUUCUAAGUAUGCUAGUCCUUUCAUGAUUAUGUGAUAGGUGGUGCAUGGCCGUUCUUAGUUCGUGGAGUGAUCUGUCUGCUUAAUUGCGUUUCACCAAGGUUCUAUAAUUCAACAUGCAUGGUGUCAGCGCAUUGAUCCCAGAUCUCAUAUCUGCGCGCGUCUUUGUAUUUCACGUCUGGCUCAUGCGAUUAGAACCUGAAAGCAACGAACGUGACCGCAACCUCUUGUUGCCUUCAUCUAAUUACUGUGUAUGUAUAUGCGUAGUAUGCUCGGAGGCUUUCUAAACUAGAGGGACCGCUGUAAUCUUCUUAAACCAGAGGAAGGUUGCGGCAAUAACAGGUCUGUGAUGCCCUUAGAUGUUCCGGGCCGCACACGUGCUACAAUGAUUAUUGCAGUGAGCAUCUCAUUCAAAUUUACUAACACCGCAAGCGCGAGUCCAGCUGUUCUACAUUUCAUUCAUGUAGCUUCAGUUGUCGUGUCUCUGCGCGCGGUUAAGCCUGCUUUGAAAGUUCAGCGGGUAAUCAAUUAGAAGUAAUGAUUUCCUAAAUUCACAAUUACAGUGAAGUCGCACUUAUAUAUGUGGUGUUGAUACCCAGUUCAAGCCUUUUCGUGCUUGUAUCUUGUGUGUAUCAAUGCGCUCUAAUUUCAGAGCCGCGAGCACAUGUGCAAUUGUCAAUUCAUGGUGGGGACAGACCAUUGUUAAUUGUUGGUCUCGGUCUUAACUAGGAAUGCCUUGUACGGGUCUUUGGUUCAACAGACCACCCGGAAUACGUCCCUGCCCUUUGUACACACCGCCCGUCA